rnacentral:lncRNA from 1 species
CCCGGCCCGGCCCCCCGCCGCCCCGCACCUGGCUUCACGUCGCAGCCUGGCUGCUUCCCUUUACACAGAAAAAGUGUACCAGAUAUAUCACUUAUGACUGGACGGCCAAGUGGUUUGCAGCAGCAAAAGCUCCAGAUGCACAGAGGGAUGAUAUCCCCAAGCUGACUUCUGUGAGGCUUGGUGGUCCGCCAGGUUGCAGGGCUCCUGCCUGGCCCAUGGAAACCUGAAAGCCUCACCGGACAAGAUCUACAUGGAACUCCUGGUAGUCUCAAGACUCUCUGCCUGGACCUUCAGCUAAUGUAGGCUCUCUGGUCAACUACUUAGGUUGACCAAGUUUUCCUGUGGUGUCCAGUACCUCUACCAUGAAGGGUGAUGGAAUAAACAGAGAUAAACCUUCAGGAGCUGUCCCUCCAGGACGUACUCAGCAGGAGAGUGUCCUGAGAAGAGAGUAGAGAAGAAACAGAUGUUUAAAGCAGUCAUCUAUCUGGAGUGACCGAGUUGCACCAGGCAGCUGACUGAGCCCUCAGGAUCCUGUAAUUUAGGUGGUUCUACAACUACUCCUGACCUUGCUUCAUCUUUUAUAUCAAAGGGAAUAUAUACGAGCAGAAUUCUCUCAUCCAGAGCAGUCUAACAGUGGUUAGCUGUGCAUGCAAACUUUCUCAUAUAAAAAGCCAGGCGAAGUACAACUCAUAAAAUUCAAUGUAAAAAUGAUUAUAACAAAGGUUCAAAGAUUAGUGGUUUCUGUUUGGAUAUAGAUCCACUAGAGACAAUGGUGUAACUGCAGAGCACAUAUAUGUACCUGACGUACCUUUAGGGCAAAUGGCAUAAUUACAUCAGCACAGACUUCAUUACAGGGCAGGUGUUUAAUGAACUUCUAAGGAGGGCUUUCCAGAUUAUGCAGAACUCUGUUUUACUGUGGGUAGACUUUGCAUGUCCACAAGAGAUCUCGAUACUGGAUCUCCUGGGUACCAGGUUCAGCCUAGCUGUGGUAGCAUGAGCCUCUGGAUCACCUAACUUUUCUUCUGAAAAAGCACCAUGUAUUUUCUCAGGUACUUUGAUAGAUUUUUCAGCCAAUUUGGAAGCCAGCUGUACCAUGGCUGCGGUAUUCUGGGGACCUGCACCACUGAAUAUAAAACAGUAACUGCCUGCUGUUGGUUUCCACACCUGCACAAGCUCUGUGUGAGCAGCAGAGACAGUCCAUCAUUUGUUUGCAAGAUGGUUUGAUGCAGUGCCUUUUUUUUAACUCUUCACAGCAUUCUUUGGGUUGGCAGUGUUCACUAACACAACUCAGGAGUGGCUCAAGUGAGGAGGCCCCUACAUCUACUCCGUGUGUAGCUUGGAGGCAUGACCUCAGACUUUGUGAUGAUUCAAAUUCAUACACAGGACCAGUUGCUGGUCUACUACCCCAUGUCAGCCAGGCGCAGGUACCCUUGUGGAGAUGUCCGUCCAGAAAAAAAGCUUAUGUAUUAGGUUCCUCUGAAAAUGACCUCCACUGCAAACACCAAAACUGAACACAGUAAGAUGGGGAUAAUUGCUUGCAAACUGCCUUGCUGCUCUGAACCAGCGCACGAACCCCGAAGAAACCUAACGUCAGGUUUCAUCGUGUCGC